AGGACGAACGCUGGCGGCGUGCUUAACACAUGCAAGUCGAGCGGUAGAGAGGUGCUUGCACCUCUUGAGAGCGGCGGACGGGUGAGUAAUGCCUAGGAAUCUGCCUAGUGGUGGGGGAUAACGUUCGGAAACGGACGCUAAUACCGCAUACGUCCUACGGGAGAAAGCGGGGGACCUUCGGGCCUCGCGCCAUUAGAUGAGCCUAGGUCGGAUUAGCUAGUUGGUGAGGUAAUGGCUCACCAAGGCGACGAUCCGUAACUGGUCUGAGAGGAUGAUCAGUCACACUGGAACUGAGACACGGUCCAGACUCCUACGGGAGCAGCAGUGGGGGAAUAGUUGGACAAGUGGGACGAAAGCCUGACU
rnacentral:rRNA from 1 species